rnacentral:rRNA from 1 species
GACGAACGCUGGCGGCGUGCCUAACACAUGCAAGUGGAGCGACGAACCAGGGCUUGCCCUGGGGCUAAGCCGCGAACGGGUGAGUAACACGUGGGUUACCUGCCUCGAUGACCGGGACAACCCGAGGCAACUCGGGCUAAUACCGGAUGUGCCCGCAAGGGGAAAGGAAGCUUCGGCCUCCGCAUCGAGAUGGGCCCGCGGCCCAUUAGCUUGUUGGUGAGGUAACGGCUCACCAAGGCUGCGAUGGGUAGCUGGUCUGAGAGGACGAUCAGCCACACUGGGACUGAGACACGGCCCAGACUCCUACGGGAGGCAGUAGUGGGGAAUCUUGCGCAAGGCGCGAAAGCGUGACGCAGCAACGCCGCGUGGGGGAAGAAGGCUUUCGGGUUGUAAACCCCUUUCAGUUGGGACGAAGCUUCGCCGAUGAAUAGUCGGUCGGAGUGACGGUACCUUCACAAGAAGCACCGGCUAACUACGUGCCAGCCGCCGCCGUAA